rnacentral:rRNA from 1 species
GUGAUCCUGCGGAAGGAUCAUUG